rnacentral:rRNA from 1 species
UACGGAGGGAGCUAGCGUUAUUCGGAACUACUGGGCGUAAAGCGCACGUAGGCGGCUUUGUAAGUAAGAGGUGAAAGCCCGGAGCUCAACUCCGGAACUGCCUUUUAGACUGCAUCGCUUGAAUCCAGGAGAGGUGAGUGGAAUUCCGAGUGUAGAGGUGAAAUUCGUAGAUAUUCGGAAGAACACCAGUGGCGAAGGCGUCUCACUGGACUGGUAUUGACGCCGAGGUGCGAAAGCGUGGGGAGCAAACAGG